rnacentral:tRNA from 1 species
GGGGGUAUAGCUCAGUUGUUAGAGUUGCUGCCUUGCAUGCAUAAGGCCCUGGGUUCAAUCCCCAGCACCAAUA